UGUGUGUUAGUGGAAGCGUCUGGAAAGGCGCGCGAUACAGGGUGACAGCCCCGUACACAAAAAUGCACAUGCUGUGAGCUCGAUGAGUAGGGCGGGACACGUGGUAUCCUGUCUGAAUAUGGGGGGACCAUCCUCCAAGGCUAAAUACUCCUGACUGACCGAUAGUGAACCAGUACCGUGAGGGAAAGGCGAAAAGAACCCCGGCGAGGGGAGUGAAAAAGAACCUGAAACCGUGUACGUACAAGCAGUGGGAGCACGCUUCGGCGUGUGACUGCGUACCUUUUGUAUAAUGGGUCAGCGACUUAUAUUCUGUAGCAAGGUUAACCGAAUAGGGGAGCCGAAGGGAAACCGAGUCUUAACUGGGCGUUAAGUUGCAGGGUAUAGACCCGAAACCCGGUGAUCUA
rnacentral:rRNA from 1 species